rnacentral:rRNA from 1 species
GAUGAACGCUGGCGGCGUGCUUAAUACAUGCAAGUCGAGCGAACAGACGAGGAGCUUGCUCCUCUGACGUUAGCGGCGGACGGGUGAGUAACACGUGGAUAACCUACCUAUAAGACUGGGAUAACUUCGGGAAACCGGAGCUAAUACCGGAUAAUAUAUUGAACCGCAUGGUUGAAUAGUGAAAGACGGCUUUUCUGUCACUUAUAGAUGGAUCCGCGCCGCAUUAGCUAGUUGGUACGGUAACGGCUUACCAAGGCAACGAUGCGUAGCCGAGGUGAGAGGGUGAUCGGCCACACGGGAACUGAGACACGGUCCAGACUCCUACGGGAGGCAGCAGUAGGGAAUCUUCCGCAGUGGGCGAAAGCCUGGCGGAGCAGCGCCACGUGAGUGAUGAAGGUCUUCGGAUCGUAAAACUCGGUUAUUAGGGAAGAACAAAUGUGUAAGUAACUAUGCACGUCUUGACGGUAACUAGUCAGAAAGCCACGGCUAACUACGUG